rnacentral:rRNA from 1 species
CCUACGGGAGGCAGCAGUGGGGAAUCUUGCGCAAUGGGCGAAAGCCUGACGCAGCCAUGCCGCGUGAAUGAUGAAGGUCUUAGGAUUGUAAAAUUCUUUCACCGGGGACGAUAAUGACGGUACCCGGAGAAGAAGCCCCGGCUAACUUCGUGCCAGCAGCCGCGGUAAUACGAAGGGGGCUAGCGUUGCUCGGAAUUACUGGGCGUAAAGGGAGCGUAGGCGGAUAGUUUAGUCAGAGGUGAAAGCCCAGGGCUCAACCUUGGAAUUGCCUUUGAUACUGGCUAUCUUGAGUACGGAAGAGGUAUGUGGAACUCCGAGUGUAGAGGUGAAAUUCGUAGAUAUUCGGAAGAACACCAGUGGCGAAGGCGACAUACUGGUCCGUUACUGACGCUGAGGCUCGAAAGCGUGGGGUAGCAAACAGGAUUAGAUACCCUGGUAGUCCACGCUGUAAACGAUGAGUGCUAGUUGUCGGCAUGCAUGCAUGUCGGUGACGCAGCUAACGCAUUAAGCACUCCGCCNGGGGAUACGGUCGCAGNUUAAACGUCAAAGGAAUUGACGGCUGNGAGNGCGAGNG